rnacentral:rRNA from 1 species
CCUACGGGAGGCAGCAGUGGGGAAUAUUGGACAAUGGGCGAAAGCCUGAUCCAGCAAUGCCGCGUGAGUGAUGAAGGCCUUCGGGUCGUAAAGCUCUUUUACCAGGGAUGAUAAUGACAGUACCUGGAGAAUAAGCUCCGGCUAACUCCGUGCCAGCAGCCGCGGUAAUACGGAGGGAGCUAGCGUUGUUCGGAAUUACUGGGCGUAAAGAGUACGUAGGCGGUUAUUCAAGUCAGAGGUGAAAGCCCGGGGCUCAACCCCGGAACUGCCUUUGAAACUAGAUAGCUAGAGUCUUGGAGAGGUUAGUGGAAUUCCGAGUGUAGAGGUGAAAUUCGUAGAUAUUCGGAAGAACACCAGUGGCGAAGGCGACUAACUGGACAAGUACUGACGCUGAGGUACGAAAGCGUGGGGAGCAAACAGGAUUAGAUACCCUGGUAGUCCACGCCGUAAACGAUGAUAACUAGUUGUUCGGUCACUUGGUGACUGAGUGACGCAGCUACGCAUUAAGUUAUCCGUCCGUCGGGUAGGUACGGUCGCGAGAGUAAACGUUAAAGUAAGUAGUAGACGNGUGUAGUGUUCGACGACGACGACGAGAGGAGG